CACGUAGGGCGCGAGCGUUGUCCGGAAUUAUUGGGCGUAAAGAGCUCGUAGGCGGCCUGUUGCGUCCGCUGUGAAAGCCCGGGGCUUAACCCCGGGUCGGCAGUGGAUACGGGCAGGCUAGAGGUAGGUAGGGGAGAAUGGAAUUCCCGGUGUAGCGGUGAAAUGCGCAGAUAUCGGGAGGAACACCAGUGGCGAAGGCGAGUCCCUGGACAACACCUGACACUGAGGCACGAAAGCUAGGGGAGCAAACAGG
rnacentral:rRNA from 1 species